rnacentral:rRNA from 1 species
AUAUCAAUAAGCGGAGGAAAAGAAACCAACAGGGAUUGCCCCAGUAACGGCGAGUGAAGCGGCAACAGCUCAAAUUUGAAAUCUGGCCCCCGUGGGGUUCGAGUUGUAAUUUGCAGAGGAUGCUUCGGCGUCGGCCCCGGGCCAAGUCCCCUGGAACGGGGCGUCCUAGAGGGUGAGAGCCCCGUACCCUCCCGGGUGUCCUUCGCCGUGUGAAGCCCCUUCGACGAGUCGAGUUGUUUGGGAAUGCAGCUCCAAGCGGGAGGUAAAUUCCUUCUAAGGCUAAAUACCGGCCAGAGACCGAUAGCGCACAAGUAGAGUGAUCGAAAGAUGAAAAGCACUUUGGAAAGAGAGUUAAAAAGCACGUGAAAUUGUUGAAAGGGAAGCUCUUGCCGCCAGACUUGCCGCGGUUGCUCGGCCGUCCCCAGGGGCGGCGUACUCACCCGCCGGCAGGCCAGCGUCGGUUCGGGCGGCCGGAUAAAGGCCCCGGUAAUGUGGCAUCCUUCGGGGUGUGUUAUAGCCCGGGGUGCAAUGCGGCCAGCCCGGUCCGAGGCACGCGUUCGCGAGGACGCUGGCGUAAUGGCUGCAAGCGACCCGUCUUGAAACACGGACCAAGGAGUCUAACAUCUGUGCGAGUGUUUGGGCGUCAAACCCAUGCGCGUAAUGAAAGUGAACGGAGGUGGGAACCCCCCCGAGGGGCGCAUCAUCGACCGAUCCUGAUGUCUUCGGAUGGAUUUGAGUAAGAGCAUAGCUGUUGGGACCCGAAAGAUGGUGAACUAUUCCCGGAUAGGGUGAAGCCAGGGGAAACUCUGGUGGAGGCUCGCAGCGGUUCUGACGUGCAAAUCGAUCGUCAAAUCUAGGAAUAGGGGCGAAAGACUAAUCGAACCAU